AGAAAAUACAUCAACAUGCCAAAUAGAGCUGCGGGCUACAUGCUUUUUCCCUUUAAAAUCAUUUUUUUUGGGUGCUUUUGCAACCUCUUCAGCCCAAUUCACAACACCAAAUAGUAAAAAAAAAAAACAAUACUCAAGUUCAAAAAAAAUAAUAAAAGAUACUAAUUCCCCUUGGACUUCAAUACUUUCUCAGUAAAAAAGAGAAACAAUUAAAGUCUAGGAAAAAUCUUGUUUUUGUGGUUGUAUAUAAUACUAAAGUAAUUCUGUUUUUUUGGGUUGGGUCAGUUGAAAUGGGUUUAUGGAUCUAAACCCGGAAAUUCUUGCCUUCAAAAGUUUGUCCAAACUGCCAAUUAGAGGGUGCCACGUUGACAUUCGUGACACUACGAUGAUCACUAGCUUUAACCCGAAUAGAAAGGGCUUGACCCACUAAAGGUGAAUUAGUUUGCCAAUUUUGCCCCCAAUUACGACUCAUUGCUAUCCAUUGUGUGUUUGUUCCUUUAAUUAAGACCUUCUGUAUAUCCCCCGCACCCGCAACGUUUGUUACCAAUAACAAAUUGAAGUAACGGAAACCGUUUAU
rnacentral:misc_RNA from 1 species